AACGAACGCUGGCGGCAUGCCUAACACAUGCAAGUCGAACGAGACCUUCGGGUCUAGUGGCGCACGGGUGCGUAACGCGUGGGAACCUGCCCUUAGGUUCGGAAUAACUCCCCGACAGGGGUGCUAAUACCGGAAAAUGUCUUCGGACCAAAGAUUUAUCGCCUUUGGGUGGGCCCGCGUUGGAUUAGCUUGUUGGUAGGGUAAAAGCCUCCCAAGGCGACGAUCCAUAGCUGGUCUGAGAGGAUGAUCAGCCACACUGGGACUGAGACGCGGCCCAGACUCAUACGGGAGGCAGCAGUGGGGAAUAGUGGACAAUGGGCGAAAGCCUGAUCCAGCACUGCCGCGUGAGUGAUGAAGGCCUUAGGGUUGUAAAGCUCUUUUACCCGUGAUGAUAAUGACAGUACCGGGAGAAUAAGCGCCGGCUAACUCCGUG
rnacentral:rRNA from 1 species